AUUGAACGCUGGCGGCAGGCCUAACACAUGCAAGUCGAGCGGAUGAAGGGAGCUUGCUCCUGGAUUCAGCGGCGGACGGGUGAGUAAUGCCUAGGAAUCUGCCUGGUAGUGGGGGAUAACGUCCGGAAACGGGCGCUAAUACCGCGUACGUCCUGAGGGAGAAAGUGGGGGAUCUUCGGACCUCACGCUAUCAGAUGAGCCUAGGUCGGAUUAGCUAGUUGGUGGGGUAAAGGCCUACCAAGGCGACGAUCCGUAACUGGCCUGAGAGGAUGAUCAGUCACACUGGAACUGAGACACGGUCCAGACUCCUACGGGAGGCAGCAGUGGGGAAUAUUGGACAAUGGGCGAAAGCCUGAUCCAGCCAUGCCGCGUGUGUGAAGAAGGUCUUCGGAUUGUAAAGCACUUUAAGUUGGGAGGAAGGGCAGUAAGUUAAUACCUUGCUGUUUUGACGUUACCAACAGAAUAAGCACCGGCUAACUUCGUG
rnacentral:rRNA from 1 species